GGGAAACAGCUGAGGCUACAAUGUCAGCUCACAGGGGGACACCCCUGCUGAUGAGGGCCAAGAAACACGACUUCCACCACUUCUGGGGGGCUUCGAGAUGAGAAGCAGUCACCUAUGCAGAAAAAACAGUACCAAUGUGCCUCAGCUGAUGGAAAUUUCUAUUUGCAAUGAAAAUCAACUUUGGUAAGCGUCACAGCAAGGGACAUUUUUUCCUGACUGUCCCAAGAUUGAUCUGGUCCAUAGGAUGCCCCAGAUCAUUGCAUUCGAGACUGAAGGGAGAAAUUCCCAUCUUACAGAUGGACAAAUGAGGCCCAGAGAUGUUAAAGGUGCUUCAUCCACAGUACCUCCCAGUAGACCAGGCUCCUCCUGCUUUUGAGAAUUUCAUGCGACUUCCUUCAGGGUUUCAAGAAUCGUCUUUCCCCCCGGUUUAGACCUCUGAGGACUGUGGCCACGAGAGGGCGGUAGAGGGAGUUUAUCAGAAUACUUGACCGUGUUGAGUAAAUUCGCGUGGGCUCUAGUCGCGAGCAGGGACUACGCCGAUCCUGCGAACUCGCUGGGGUCUAGCCUGCAGGCCUCUUUUGGAAAGCCGCGUCCAAAGGCUGCGGUGGCACGAAGACUCUAUAUGGCACGGAAUCAAUGGUCGUAAAGGCACCGAGGCAAUGCCACCUGGAAUCCAGAAACCUCUCACCUUAGGUCAUUAAAAUAAGUUACCUUACCGCCACCUCUCUGGGUCGUGCCAGGCCGCCUCCCUGGGUCUGGUUGCAGAAAGCUCCCCUCC